rnacentral:rRNA from 1 species
GACUAAGCCAUGCGAGUUGAGAGGGGAAAGCCCUCAGCAUACUGCUCAGUAACACGCGGAUAACCUGCCCUCGGGUCCGGGAUAACCCCGGGAAACUGGGACUAAUACCGGAUAGGCCAUAGAUGCUGGAAUGCCCUAUGGCUGAAAGCUCCGGUGCCCAAGGAUGGAUCUGCGGCCUAUCAGGUUGUAGUGGGUGUAACGUACCUACUAGCCUACGACGGGUAAGGGUUGUGAGAGCAAGAGCCCUGAGAUGGAUUCUGAGACAUGAAUCCAGGCCCUACGGGGUGCAGCAGGCGCGAAACCUUUACAAUGCGGGCAACCGCGAUAAGGGGACCCCGAGUGCCAGCACCUAGUGCUGGCUGUCCCGCUGUGUAAAAAGCAGCGGUUAGCAAGGGCCGGGCAAGACCGGUGCCAGCCGCCGCGGUAACACCGGCGGCCCGAGUGGUAACCGCUUUUAUUGGGUUUAAAGGGCCCGUAGCCGGCCUAUUAAGUCUCUUGGGAAAUCUGGCGGCUUAAUCGUCAGGCGUCCAAGAGAUACUGGUAGGCUUGGGACCGGGAGAGGUGGGAGGUACUCCAGGGGUAGGGGUGAAAUCUCGUAAUCCUUGGGGGACCACCGAUGGCGAAGGCAUCCCACCAGAACGGGUCCGACGGUGAGGGACGAAAGCUGGGGGCACGAACCGGAUUAGAUACCCGGGUAGUCCCAGCUGUAAACGAUGCUCGCUAGGUGUCAGGUGCGGUGCGACCGCAUCUGGUGCCGCAGUGAAAACUUGAAGCGAGUCACCUGGGAAGUACGGUCGCAAGGCUGAAACUUAAAGGAAUUGGCGGGGGAGCAC